rnacentral:lncRNA from 1 species
UAUAUCCUGUUUUGGCCAUCACUUUUCAAGAAUUGGAAAGAGUUCAGAGAAGAGAGCAACAAGAAAGAAUGGAGCCAUUAAAGGACCUGAAGGAUAAGCAGUGAUUCGUGUUGCAGAUGAAACUUUUGCUGUGACACCAUCAUUUAUCGAGGGAGAGCAAAGGACUAAACCAUCUGCU